UACGAAAGGAGCAAGUGUUAUUCAGAUUAACUGGGCGUAAAGGGCACGUAGGUGGUUUGUUUAUGUGUAUUAUUAAAUUAUAAAAGCAUAACUUUAUAAUGUAGUAUAAACAGCAAAACUAGAGUUAGGUAGAGAGUAGUAGAAUUUCUAAUGUAAAAGGUGAAAUUUAUAAAAUUAGAGAGAAUAACCAAUGGCGUAAGCAAC
rnacentral:rRNA from 1 species